CUGAGGAUGUAGCUCAGUGGCGGAAUGUCCCUGGGUUUGAUCUCCAGAACUGGGAGAGGGAAACGGGAGGGAGAGCUAGUCUUCCUGGAGCACCUACGACAAGAGGAGCACUGAAGACAGAGCAGUAAACAGGAAGAAGCUGCCCUGGACUUGAGGAGUUUCCAGUCUGUUGAAGGAGAGAGACACAAAUACAUAUUUCAGGGGGGAGUUUGGGAGCUUUAGAAGGAGAGAGAAGAUACUGUCCCCAGCCUCAGUGACUAGGUUUCCCAAGAGAUCUCUCCAGGAAGCAGAGCCAGGCCUCCCAUUCCCAGGUUACAGGUAGAGAU